rnacentral:rRNA from 1 species
UACGUAGGGCGCAAGCGUUAUCCGGAAUUAUUGGGCGUAAAGAGCUCGUAGGCGGUUUGUCGCGUCUGCCGUGAAAAGUCCGGGGGCUCAACUCCGGAUCUGCGGUGGGUACGGGCAGACUAGAGUGAUGUAGGGGGAGACUGGAAUUCCAGGUGUAGCGGUGAAAUGCGUAGAUAUCAGGAGGAACACCGGUGGCGAAGGCGGUUCUCUGGGCCGAAACUGACGCUGAGGAGCGAAAGCGUGGGGAGCAAACAGG